rnacentral:rRNA from 1 species
GUCCACGCCGUAAACGAUGAGAACUUGACGUUGGGAUGUUUUACAUCUCGGUGUCGCAGCUAACGCGAUAAGUUCUCCGCCUGGGGAGUACGGCCGCAAGGUUGAAACUCAAAGGAAUUGACGGGGCCCGCACAAGCGGUGGAGUAUGUGGUUUAAUUCGAUGCAACGCGAAGAACCUUACCUGGUCUUGACAUCCAGAGAAUCCUGCAGAGAUGCGGGAGUGCCUUCGGGAACUCUGAGACAGGUGCUGCAUGGCUGUCGU